rnacentral:lncRNA from 1 species
AUGACGGAGCGCCGCGAAAUGGCCUGUAAAGAUGCCGCGGCAGAGAAAAGACAACACGCGCCGCUUCCUUCCUGGAUUCCCACAUUGUUCUCGCCAGCGCCGCUCCCCCUGGGCCUCGGGAACGACUCGGCGCACCCCAGACAAAAAACCGCCGGCCUGGGUCUGGUUUAUGGGUCAGACGGGGGUGGAUGGAUGGAUUCGAGGCUUCGUCUCCGGCGCUGGACCAGCAGCUGUGUAAUCAGACCGGGCUCCGACCCCACCUGUCCGGAUGUCCCUCCGCACCCUCCAUCACGUCCGCGUGUCACGCACGCGCUGACGAAUCGCCGGUCGCGUGCAACCUCUGACCCGCGGCCUCCUUCGCCGAGGACGCCCUACUACUGCAAGCCACCGGCAAAUACAGUAGAUUGUUUUUCCUUCGCAGUCAUCGGGCUUUAAUUUAAACUCCCACUGAUUUACUGCUGACAUGUGGCCACUCCAGCUAAUAACAAGAACAUCAUAAAUACACACUUUGGCGGCCUCUGGUUUGGAGGUGGGCUGUGCUCCACUGUUCAGCGAUCAGCGCCGCUGGUCCUUUGUUUGGUUUCACAGGGACACGCUUCAGCUAAAUAUGAAGAGGGCUUAGACGGAGACAAAUACAUGCUGCUGUGAAGGUUCUUUGUGAACUUGACUAAUGGAGGGAUUUGUGAAUAGUUACAUGUAGUUCACAUGUAGAGAUGCCCUUAAACCUGGGACACAUCUAUUAUAAAAACCUUUUGUAUGAUGAGCUGUAGGUCUGUUGUGUUUAUCUUUUAAUUGUGCUUCUUACCAUAAGUUAUGUUAAAUAUUUUGCAUGUUGUUUUAAAAAUUUUCAAUCAUAAAAUGCUACAGUGAUGAUGUUUGGCUAUUAGUUUGUGUUAUUUGAAGGAUUAACUGCUGAUAUUCCUAAAUAGGCAGUUUUGCAAGUAAUGUGUAAUGACGCAAGACGAUUAGCAGCUCCUCACAGCCGUUUUAAAGGCCCGAUCCGCUUUAUACGACCAUCGGGCCAUAACAGGCGCCGCCCGGGUCGGGCCCACGGAUGCUCGGAGGCCUCUGUUGAGAACACUGAGCUCUGUAUUU